GGGGACGUAGCUCAGUGGGAGAGCACAUGACUGAAGAUCAUGGUGUCCCGGGUUCGAAUCCCGGCGUCCCCA
rnacentral:tRNA from 1 species